AUUGAACGCUGGCGGCAGGCCUAACACAUGCAAGUCGAGCGGAUGAAGGGAGCUUGCUUCUGGAUUCAGCGGCGGACGGGUGAGUAAUGCCUAGGAAUCUGCCUGGUCGUGGGGGAUAACGUCCGGAAACGGGCGCUAAUACCGCAUACGUCCUGAGGGAGAAAGUGGGGGAUCUUCGGACCUCACGCUAUCAGAUGAGCCUAGGUCGGAGUAGCUAGCUGGUGGGGUAAAGGCCUACCAAGGCGACGAUCCGUAACUGGUCUGAGAGGAAGAUCAGUCACACGGGAACGGAGACACGGUCCAUACUCCUACGAGAGGCAGCAGUGUGGAAUGUUAGACAGUGGGCGAAAGCCAGAUCCAGCCAGGCCGCGUGUGAUAAGAAGGUCUUCGGAGUGUAAAGCACUUUAAGUUGUGAGGAAGGGCAGUAAGUUAAGACCUAGCUGUAUUGACGGUACCAGCAGAAGAAGCACCGGCUAACUUCGUG
rnacentral:rRNA from 1 species